rnacentral:lncRNA from 1 species
AUGGAAAAAGCAAGAGAGUUCCAGAAAAACAUCUAUUUCUGCUUUAUUGACUAUGCCAAAGCCUGUGACUGUGUAGAUCACAAUCAACUGUGGAAAAUUCUGACAGAGAUGGGAAUACCAGACCACCUAACCUGCCUCUUGAGAAAUUUGUAUGCAGGUCAGGAAGCAACAGUUAGAACUGGACAUGGAACAACAGACUGGUUCCAAAUAGGAAAAGGCGUACAUCAAGGCUAUAUAUUGUCACCCCGCUUAUUUAACUUCUACACAGAGUACAUCAUGAGAAAAGCUGGACUGGAAGAAACACAAGCUGGAAUCAAGAUUGCCAGGAGAAAUAUCAAUAACCGCAAAUAUGCAGAUGACACCACCCUUAUGGCAGAAAGUGAAGAGGAACUCAAAAGCCUCUUGAUGAAAGUGAAAGAGGAGAGUGAAAAAGUUGGCUUAAAACUCAACAUUCAGAAAACGAAGAUCAUGGCAUCCAGUCCCAUCACUUCAUGGGAAAUAGAUGGGGAAACAGUGGAAACAGUGUCAGACUUUAUUUUGGGGGGCUCCAGAAUCACUGCAGAUGGUGACUGCAGCCAUGAAAUUAAAAGACACUUACUCCUUGGAAGAAAAGUUAUGACCAAUCUAGAUAGUAUAUUCAAAAGUAGAGACAUUACUUUGCCAACUAAGGUCCAUCUAGUCAAGGCUAUGGUUUUCCCUGUGGUCAUGUAUGGAUGUGAGAGUUGGACUAUGAAGAAGGCUGAGCGCCAAAGAAUUGAUGCUUUUGAACUAUGGUGUUGGAGAAGACUCUUGAGAGUCCCUUGGACUGCAAGGAGAUCCAACCAGUCCAUUCUGAAGGAGAUCAGCCCUGAGAUUUCUUUGGAAGGACUGAUGCUAAAGCUGAAGCUCCAGUACUUCGGACACCUCAUGCAAAGAGUUGACUCAUUGGAAGGGAUUGGGGGCAGGAGGAGAAGGGGACGACCCAGGAUGAGAUGGCUGGAUGGCAACACUGACUCGAUGGACGUGAGUCUGAGUGAACUCCGGGAGAUGGUGAUGGACAGGGAGGUCUGGCGUGCUGCGAUUCCUGGGGUCGCAAAGAGUUGGACACGACUGAGCAACUGA